UGGUGGAGCGAUUUGUCUGGUCAAUUCCGAUAACGAACGAGACUCUAGCCUACUAAAUAGUUCGGGGACCCCCACAAAGGGGCCCCGCUUCAACUUCUUAGAGGGACUGGUGGCGUUUAGCCACACGAGAUUGAGCAAUAACA
rnacentral:rRNA from 1 species